rnacentral:lncRNA from 1 species
ACACACCCAUCUUUCCUGAAAGCUUGGGGACAGCUGUCACUUCACUGGUGGGGGGGCCUCUGCUCCUGAUGCCUCCAGGCUAUGGCCUGCCUUCCGUGGGGCUGACGUGUGUGCUUUGAUUUUCCAGGAUGUCGGGGGAGCUGCAGAGCCACGUGAGCAUCUGUGAGUAGCAGAGCCCCGACAGGAUGGUUGGUGCUGGGUCGGGGGAGGGCCUAGGAAGGCUGGGCACCAGUGGGAGGGGGGCUCUCAGCCUUGUAGUUUCCGGUUCUGCUCAGUAACCAUGAAAGUGAGCAGACAAACUGCAGAGCCGAGGGGGAGAGGGGAGUCGCUGAAACAAACGGUUAUGCUUUUAGUUCUUACUCAUUUUACUUUUUCCGAUACAAUCAUCUGUAGCAGCUUGGAACUCUUUAAGCUGUGCAGAGCAGCCAGACUACCGUCAGCAGCGGGGGAGGUGGCGGUGGCCGAGGCUCUAGAGGUUAUGGUGGCGGCUACAGUGGCGCCAGCUCCCGCAGGGGCGGCAGCAGCAGCAGUAGCAGCAGAGGCUACGGCAGUGGCGGAGGCGGGGGCUCCCGAGGGGUCAGCGGAGGUGGUUAUUCCGGCGGCACCGGCGGGAGCUACGGAGGGAGCAGCAGGGGCAGCAGCAAGUACGGAGGCAGCGGAGGCUUCUCCCGCGUGCAGAUCAUCCAAACUUCCACCAACACCUCCCACAAGCGAAUCGUGGAGUAGAGGGAAGGCUCAGCCCCACCCCACCAGCUCCCAGCGGCAAGGCUGUCAUCUGUUCCCUCCCCCACGCCCUUCCUGAACCCCUCUCACUUACCUUUUCCUUAUGGGUCUCAGCAGUUUUGCCAAAUACAUCGCACUUUCCCCGGGGAAGCAGGUGGAUAUUGGAUCUAUCUUCGGGAGGGUGCUGGCUGGCAGGCAGAAUCACAGCCAGACACACUCAACUCAGACUCCACUCAGCUGGCCCUGCUCCUGCCCCUGGGAACCCUCAAGGGCCCCAGUUUAGAGAUGGAGAAAAGGAGCCCUAUAGUGUAUCUACAAAGCAGAUAAUAGAGUGUUAAUGUCAAGGACCCCAGGUAUCUCACUCCCAGGCUCCCUUUCCUGCACCUGGGCUGCUCUGUGGACAAUAACCCAUCCCUUAGGGCCACAGAAUGAAGCCUCUGGGCAAGUUGCUUGGCAAGGGGAACCUGUGCCUGGGCCCAUUACUGCCUGUUGGUCUGUUAGCCUCCUACUUUCAUUUCCUCCAUCCAUGCAGAGUAUGGAUUUGCUGUCCUCAUCAGACACCUGUAAGUGAUCUCUGCUCUUGCUUCUGAAUCUCUGUCUUAAGAAGCAUUAUUCUCGGGGUUAACAGCCCAAGAUGGGAGUCUUUCCGAGGACAUACGUCCUUGUCCCCUGGGAGGACUGAUUAUCCCUAAAUGGAGGAGUCAAUGGACAAACAAUCCAUUGUUUCUGCCCCGCCCUUCCUGAGAGCUCCAUUCUUUGGAAGCCUGGCCCUUUCUAAACUCUGCUCCAUAAUGGCCCUCCUGAGAAUUGUCUAGCAGACUGGGCACAUGCAGCCCAGGUCUGCUUAGUCCAGGUGCCCAGGCCCUGGAGAUUUUGAGGCUCAGACAUGGGCCUUUGGAGGGUUCAGUCCUGAACCAGUUUGGAAGCUGCCUGUAAUUUGUCAGGAAACUUAGUGUCCUUUCCCAGAUCUCAAAGUCCCUCCUGACUCCUGUUCUCUGUGACUGAGCACUUUGUGAGAAUUUGAUGCUUGAAAUGUGCUGGAGGGGAUGGGAAGGGGAAACUACUGGCCAACUAGCAGGCCUUGAGAGGGAGAAGGUGACUUUACUUCCCGAGUCACUUUCACUUGUUUGCUGAGUCCUAAUAUGACCUCCAAAUCCAUGAUUCUCUUGGGGCAUCUGCCGGGCUCAGCAUGGGUUCCUUGGGGAGUGCUGUGACUUCAUCACUUCCUGGUUGAAGCUUGUACCUUGAAAGGCUUGACAUUUUUGGUGUUUCUACAAUAAAAUAUUCUGUGAUCUCAAACUGC